rnacentral:snRNA from 1 species
AUACUUACCUGGCAUAGAGACACCGUGAUCAUGCAGGCGGUUCCCCCAGGGUGAGGCUGUUCCAUUGCACUUCGGACUGCGGAGUAGUUGGUAGUUGACCCUUGCGAUUAUUCAUAUUUUUUAUAAGUUUCACUUCUACUGUGUGUGACUUGUACACACACACACAUU